GACGAACGCUGGCGGCGUGCUUAACACAUGCAAGUCGAGCGGAAAGGCCACUUCGGUGGUACUCGAGCGGCGAACGGGUGAGUAACACGUGAGUAAUCUGCCCCUGGCUUUGGGAUAGCCACCGGAAACGGUGAUUAAUACCGGAUAUGACACAUUCUCGCAUGAGUUUGUGUGGAAGUUUUUCGGCCAGGGAUGUGCUCGCGGCCUAUCAGCUUGAUGGUGAGGUAAUGGCUCACCAUGGCUUCGACGGGUAGCCGGCCUGAGAGGGUGACCGGUCACACUGGGACUGAGACACGGCCCAGACUCCUACGGGAGGCAGCAGUGGGGAAUAUUGGACAAUGGGCGGAAGCCUGAUCCAGCAACGCCGCGUGAGGGAUGACGGCCUUCGGGUUGUAAACCUCUUUCAGUACCGACGAAGCGCAAGUGACGGUAGGUACAGAAGAAGCACCGGCCAACUACGUG
rnacentral:rRNA from 1 species